rnacentral:rRNA from 1 species
UACGUAGGGUGCAAGCGUUGUCCGGAAUUAUUGGGCGUAAAGCGCGCGCAGGCGGCCUUGUAAGUCUGUUGUUUAAACUUGGGGCUCAACCCCCAAGUCGCAAUGGAAACUGCAAAGCUUGAGUACAGAAGAGGAAAGUGGAAUUCCACGUGUAGCGGUGAAAUGCGUAGAGAUGUGGAGGAACACCAGUGGCGAAGGCGACCACUCUGGGCCGUAACUGGACGCUGAGGAGCGAAAGCGUGG